AUAUAAAAAUAUUGUACUAUAAAUUACAUAACGCAAAAUUCGUAAAUUUCGCAGUCAACUUUCUGAUUAUAAAACGUUAGGUCACGCAAAUCCUGACUCCCACUUCCUUCCGUAUAAUAGGUUCGUAAUACCAGGUUACCCCCCCUGCCCUAAAAUUGAUGCAAAUGAUGUAUCUUAGUGUUAUGGAAAAAAAAAACUAUCAACUAUCACUAAAGGAACUUGCUUCAUAAUAUAAAAUACUUAGAAAUCUAUGAAACCUUUAAAAAUACUUUUUUCUUAAGUUAAUACUUUUUCUACUAUUCUAUGUUAAUACUGUAAGUCUAUUAUUAAUUGCAAUAUGUAAAGGUGCACGAUAAAGAAGAUCAAAGAUUGUUUCAUAAAUUAUUAAAAUUUUGUAUGCAAAAGUUAUAUUGUAUAUACGCGUAAAAUAUAUUUACUGUCUUUGAAA